UGACAUUUUCUCCAAAUCGGAUAGUGAAGUGUAAGUCGAGCUUCGCCGCAGGCAACCCUGGGUCUCCGCCUUCAGACUCAGGGUCCCUGAGUGGGGUGCGCUGCCCCGGCGCUGCUAACCCAGGGGACCGGGUGGGAUCCCCCCACACACCCCCACCCAGCCGAGCGCCGUGGGCCCGGCCGUUCCACCAAGUGAGGCCGAGGAGCCCACGUGUGAGGCCCACGCCCGUCUCGGGCCGGGGCACUGGUGCGCUCCGAGCACGACGGGUGGCCGGCCUCGCGGCGGGUUCAAGUGCACGCCCGGGGUUGGAGCCAGCGGCUCGGCGAGCGAGUUCUCUCCUGCUCGGCCCCCUCUCCGGAGUUCAGUGUGCCCCGCUGCUCCUGGGACCCCCUCUCCCAGCCCUCCCAGUCGCGAUGAGCCGCCGGCCUGGGGCGCGAACCCGGGCGCGCUCCUCCCCGGGCCCCAGCCCACGGCGCGGGCCCCUCAAGAGCAACGUGGAGGCUCCGCCUGGAAAAGAAGUCCGACUUCCUCUCCGCGCUGCUCUGGUGCGAUCUGGAAUCGGCAGGAAAUGGCUCGAACACCCGUCCCGCGCCUUUGCAGUCAGCCCUCGCUUUGCUGAAGGGAAGCAGCUCCCACCAAAGUCUUACCGCCCCCUCCCCCACGAAAGACCCGCGCAGGUCAGAGCCUACGAGAAAAGCCCGGAGCCAUCCACUCACCUGGGUGAGGCCAUAAAGAGGACACCUGGCCCAGCCGGCCGUGUGGAACGUCACUCAGCACGCCCGAGGGGCUCCCUCGCCGCCUGCGCUCCGCCAGCACAGCCUGCACACCAGCCUUCCUUCUCUCAACACUUGGCUGCCAGCCAUCUGGCCCCCAUGACCGGAGCCUCCCGAGCAAAAGCUUUCCAGCUCAACAUGCCCAUCCCUCCCCCAGCCUCCAUUAAGUUGUAA
ensembl:lncRNA